AGAGUUUGAUCAUGGCUCAGGAUGAACGCUAGCUACAGGCUUAACACAUGCAAGUCGAGGGGAAACGAUAUUGGAAGCUUGCUUCCGAUAGGCGUCGACCGGCGCACGGGUGAGUAACGCGUAUCCAACCUGCCCACCACUUGGGGAUAACCUUGCGAAAGUAAGACUAAUACCCAAUGAUAUCUCUAGAAGACAUCUGAAAGAGAUUAAAGAUUUAUCGGUGAUGGAUGGGGAUGCGUCUGAUUAGCUUGUUGGCGGGGUAACGGCCCACCAAGGCAACGAUCAGUAGGGGUUCUGAGAGGAAGGUCCCCCACAUUGGAACUGAGACACGGUCCAAACUCCUACGGGAGGCAGCAGUGAGGAAUAUUGGUCAAUGGACGAGAGUCUGAACCAGCCAAGUAGCGUGCAGGAAGACGGCCCUAUGGGUUGUAAACUGCUUUUAUAAGGGAAUAAAGUGAGAGUCGUGACUCUUUUUGCAUGUACCUUAUGAAUAAGGACCGGCUAAUUCCGUGCCAGCAGCCGCGGUAAUACGUAGGGGGCAAGCGUUAUCCGGAUUUACUGGGUGUAAAGGGAGCGUAGACGGCUUUGCAAGUCUGACGUGAAACUCCGGGGCUCAACUCCGGAACUGCGUUGGGAACUGUAAGGCUUGAGUGCCGGAGAGGUAAGCGGAAUUCCUAGUGUAGCGGUGAAAUGCGUAGAUAUUAGGAGGAACACCAGUGGCGAAGGCGGCUUACUGGACGGCAACUGACGUUGAGGCUCGAAAGCGUGGGGAGCAAACAGGAUUAGAUACCCUGGUAGUCCACGCGGUAAACGAUGAAUACUAGGUGUUGGGGGACAAAGUCUUUCGGUGCCGCCGCAAACGCAUUAAGUAUUCCACCUGGGGAGUACGUUCGCAAGAAUGAAACUCAAAGGAAUUGACGGGGACCCGCACAAGCGGUGGAGCAUGUGGUUUAAUUCGAAGCAACGCGAAGAACCUUACCAAGUCUUGACAUCGAUUCGACGGGAGUGUAAUGACUCCUUUCCCUUCGGGGACGAAGAAGACAGGUGGUGCAUGGUUGUCGUCAGCUCGUGUCGUGAGAUGUUGGGUUAAGUCCCGCAACGAGCGCAACCCUUAUCUUCAGUAGCCAGCGAGUAAGGUCGGGCACUCUGGAGAGACUGCCAGGGACAACCUGGAGGAAGGUGGGGAUGACGUCAAAUCAUCAUGCCCCUUAUGACUUGGGCUACACACGUGCUACAAUGGCGUAAACAAAGGGAAGCGAACCUGUGAGGGUGGGCAAAUCCCAAAAAUAACGUCUCAGUUCGGAUUGUAGUCUGCAACUCGACUACAUGAAGCUGGAAUCGCUAGUAAUCGCGAAUCAGCAUGUCGCGGUGAAUACGUUCCCGGGUCUUGUACACACCGCCCGUCACACCAUGGGAGUCGGUAACGCCCGAAGUCAGUGUCCCAACCGCAAGGAGGGAGCUGCCGAAGGCGGGACUGGUAACUGGGGUGAAGUCGUAACAAGGUA
rnacentral:rRNA from 1 species